UCUGAGACUCGGGCUAAAAGUGGCUCUAUCAGAGACCUCCAUGAAUUUUGGGGAGGGAAGUCCCCAGAGAACAGGGCUCCAUGUGAGAGUUUACCUGAACAACCCUUUGCUAAAGAGGGUGUGGUUGAACAUGAAUCCAGUCAGCCAUUUCAGUGUAAGCCAGGAAUGGAAAUGCAG
rnacentral:sRNA from 1 species